rnacentral:lncRNA from 1 species
UUAAGCUGUGUCCCUUGACCAGUUGUGGCUCUGUGUGUCAAGACCUCGCCUGCAGUUGUAAGGUUCUGUGACCUGAUCAAGGGUUAAAGAGGAUUCCAUAACCCACACCAUAAUAGUGGAUCUGGCAUCCUAGCAAACGAGGCCCAGUGGGCCUGCAAGGAUUGCAGCCUCUCUGGGGGCCUCCUCAUGACUCCAUCCUUACCUACACAACCCUGGACCAAGCCUGGAAUCUCCACAGCCUCAUUAUCACUCUCAGCCUUGGUUUUGAUAUCGAGAAACCAUGGGAAGCAAAGGAGACAACCUCAUGGCGUGAUUUCGAGGCUAAACCGAUCCAAACCCAGGCCUUCACAUGGUUUUGGACAAAGUUCUUUGUGAGGGUUAUUUUCGUCAUGAGAGUGAUUAAUGUCAUGUGUUGGCCAUGGAGAGACAAGUGUACCCCCGUGGGAGGAACUUGGCAGAGAAGCGGAGCAGAGCCCGAGUUAAUUUUAGAAAUCUUCGAUGUUGCAGGGGGCGACAGGGGAAACUCGGUUCUGCCAAGGAUGAACUAACUACCUGAGACCAUUAAGCCCCCAAAGAACAGCUUUUGCAUCUGGUCUCUCUCCUUCCCUGCUCCUUGUUCAUCAAGUAACAGGAAGCCUGCCU